AAGGGGGCGAGCGUUGUUCGGAAUUACUGGGCGUAAAGGGUGUGUAGGUUGACGUGUAAGAUAGCGGUGAAAUCCCAGAGCUCAACUUUGGAAUUGCCAUUAUAACUAUGCGUCUAGAAUUAUAGAGAGGAUAGCGGAAUACCCAGUGUAGAGGUGAAAUUCGUAGAUAUUGGGUAGAACACCGGUGGCGAAGGCGGCUAUCUGGCUAUAUAUUGACACUGAGGCACGAAAGCAUGGGGAUCAAA
rnacentral:rRNA from 1 species